GACGAACGCUGGCGGCGUGCUUAACACAUGCAAGUCGAACGGUGAAGGGGUCUGCUUUUGUGGGCCCUGGAUGAGUGGCGAACGGGUGAGUAACACGUGAGUAACCUGCCCCCUUCUUCUGGAUAACCGCAUGAAAGUGUGGCUAAUACGGGAUAUUCUGGGUCUGUCGCAUGAUGGGUCUGGGAAAGAUUGCGCCUUUGGGUGUUUUUGGUGGGGGAUGGGCUCGCGGCCUAUCAGCUUGUUGGUGGGGCGAUGGCCUACCAAGGCGGUGACGGGUAGCCGGCCUGAGAGGGUGGACGGUCACACUGGGACUGAGACACGGCCCAGACUCCUACGGGAGGCAGCAGUGGGGAAUAUUGCACAAUGGGCGCAAGCCUGAUGCAGCGACGCCGCGUGAGGGAUGGAGGCCUUCGGGUUGUAAACCUCUUUCGCCAGUGAAGCAGGCCUGCUCCUUGUGGGUGGGUUGACGGUAGCUGGAUAAGAAGCGCCGGCUAACUACGUG
rnacentral:rRNA from 1 species